rnacentral:tRNA from 1 species
GCCUGGGUGGCUCAGUCGGUUGAGCGUCCGACUUUGGCUCAGGUCAUGAUCUCUCACAGCUGGUGAGUUCGAGCCUCGCAUCGGGCC